GUAAUGACAACAUAAAUUAUGUAGAUGUUGUAGGAAAUAUUACUUCAUUUAAAACUAUCACUGAGUAUUGGACUUUGUGAUCAUGUAUAUUUUCUCAAUGUAAUAAUUAAUGCAUAGAUAUGUCACAUGUCUACAGAUUUAUUUUUAUUUUUAUUUUGAGAUGGAGUUUCGCUCUUUUUGCCCAGGCUGGAGUACAAUAGUGCAAUCUCGGCUCACUGCAACCUCCGCCUCCCAGGUUCAAGCGAUUCUCCUGCCCCAGCCUCCCAAGUAACUGGGAUUACAGGCGUGCACCACCACACCCAGCUAAUUUUGUAUUUUUAAUAGAGACGGGGUUUCACCAUGUUGUCAGGCUGGUCACAAACUCCUGUCCUCAAGUGAUCCACCUGCCUUGGCCUCCCAAAGUGCUGGGAUUAUAGGCAUGAGCCACUGCACCUGGCCAGAUUUUUUUUUAAUGUUAAAAAGAGGUCCUCACACAUGAAAUGAUGGAGAAGUACUGCUCCAGCAUAUUCAGUUUAAUAAGGAUCCUGUCCUCCUGGACCCCAUCUAAGGAAAUGUCAUGCCUGGGUGAUAAAAGGGACUUCCAGAUGGCUUCACCUAUGGGAGAUGCAUCUAUCUCUUCCUGGUGAAACGUUUUUCAUUUAAAGACUAAAUAAUAGUUGUGCAGGAAAGAGGAGCAGAGAAUACUUGAGAAAAGAGGCCUUUGAGAGCCAAGAAAGCCCCAGUCCCCAUGGCUUGAAUUACCAGUACCCCCUCCCUUCUGCCCCAGGAAGUGAAACUGAGAUGCUCAUCCCAAAGCAAAAGUGUCAGCAGAAGGAGCUUGUGCCAUGGAUGAGGAGCAAAACUUACUGACAGCUUUAUGGAGUUUUCCUAAAAACCAGAAAGAGAGAGAAGAGUGAGUGAUCAGAUCCUGCCUCUUUUUCCUCAGAGCUGUGGCAGCCUCAUCACUCCAACCCACAAGAUUAAAAUGAUGGUGACGCUUCUAUGUCCCUAGUCCAGCUCCGUGUCCCAGAGUUCAGACCCAGAAAUCUGAUGGUGCUGGUGACACUGUCCCAGUGACCCAGCCUGCCCGGGACUUUGGUUCCUCCUUCCCCUUCCCCUCCUUUUCAUCUGUCUGGUUUCAUUUCUGCUGUCGGCAUGAGUGUUUCUAUAUGUUUGUAACUGCGGUACAUGAGUGUAUGCACUGCUGUCCUUUUAUAGCCCACCGUUUAUGGUAUCUAAGGUGUAAAACUAGCUAAAGGCCUAGCAUGAACUUGUUAAUAUGGCUGUAUUAUUCUCUACAGUAACUCCCCUGAGGUUAUAAAUUUCACAAAUUGGAGGUCCCAGAAGAUUUGGGGACAUGUGUAUGAGACAUGUGUUUCUGGGGAGUACUUGCAGCUUCUCUGGAGGGCCAUGUGGCCCACAUUUCCCCCUACCCAGCAUUGGCCCUGCUAGACAAUUGAAGUUACACAUCCUGAGUCCACCACCAGUCCCUGUGCUAAGGGCCGGGCAUGUGUUAGGCAUUAGGCAUUGGAGCAAUGCAGCCGAAUACGACACGGCUCCUAAGGAGCUUAUGGUUUAUUGUUACCAUCUCCACUACUAACAGCUUCCAUUUACUGUCUGCUGUGCUUAUACUGAAGUAGGCACUGAAUCCUCUCAAUAAUGUGAGAUGCCUAGAAUUAUUAUUGCCAUUUUAUAGGGGGGUGGUCUGAGGCUCAAAGGGACACAAAAUUUGCCCAAGGUCUUCCAGCUAGUAAGUGACCAAGGAGGCAGGAUUCAAUCUAAGUCUGUCUGACUCCUGAGUUAGAGGCCCUCUCCCUUACCCCACACUGUUCCCUCUUCACUUGAGCAGAACAGCCAGUGUCUGCCAGAUACACGCCACGCUUGCACCAGCUUGGAGGAAAUGUAAGGAGGGAAGAGAGGAGACGCUGACAUCAUUGAAUCUGGAGUCAUCUGAGCCAGUGACUUGUCUUCCCAGAUAGACUUCAACAAGGUGUCCAACUCAGUGGCCCACAGUAAAUGUCAAAUUAAUGAAGACAAAAUGGCAAUAAGGAAAAGGAGUUCCAGGCACUGUGACAGAUUUUUUUUUAAGGUUGCCUGUUUUAACACUGAAAACAAUCAGCAUGGUCUGAAAGAAGAUUGUCUAGAGGAAGAAAGGAAAAGAUAAUGAGAUUUUUUGCCACUGCCUUGAGGAUCCCUGAUUCCUAUUGAUUUUACCUGCCCUUGGACCUGUCCACCUCUAUCUUCACCUCCACCUCCCUGAUCCGGUCUCUAAUCAACUCUCACCUGGACAACAGAAAUGGCAGCCCAAAUUGUCUCCCACAUCCUGUCUUAAUCCCUCUGGUCUCUACUAAACUCUGCAGCCUGAGAGAAUUGUUUAGUUUUUUUUUUUUUUUUAAAUCUGCCACCCUGGCUGGAUUGCAGUGGCAUGAUCUUGACUCACUGCAGAUUUUUUUUAAAAAUCUGCCACCCUGGCUGGAUUGCAGUGGCACGAUCUUGACUCACUGCAACCUCUGUCUCCGGGGUUCAAGCAAUUCUCCUGUCUGUCUCCUGAGUAGCUGGGAUUACAGGCACGCACCACCAUGCUCCACUAAUUUUUGUAUUUUUAGUAGAGACAGGGUUUCGCCAUGUUAAUCAGGCUGGGCUUGAACUCCCGACCUCAGGUGAUCCACCCUCUUCAGCCUCCCAAAGUGCUAGGAUUACAGGCGUGAGCCACCAUGCCCGGCCAAGUUUUUCAAAGCACAAUUACAUCUGAUAUCCCCAUUCCUUGCUUUACCACUGCUCUUACGAGAAUGACUAAAAUCCUGAAUGUGACCCACCAGGCCUCAGGAGGCUCAGCUCCGCCUCACUCCCCAGCCUCACCCCUGCCACUUUUCCCCUCACUCCUGCACCUCCUCAACUCCCCAGUGAGUGCUGCUUUCCCCGACCAUGCUUCUCUCUGAAGCUGUUCUUUCUGCGGUGGCUGGUUUUCCAUUCCCUCUUCACUCAUGACUUCUAGUCCUUCAGGACAAACUUCAUACCCUCAACCCUCAAGCUUGGUUGGUUCAUUCUGGUCAUAGCCUUCACAGAACCAGGAGCUUUCUUGUGUAGCUUUUGUACACAUUUAUUUGUGUUAACUAUUUAAUUCAUCUCAUUUCCCUGACUACACUGAAAGUUCCAGGAGGGCAAAAACUGUGUCUGCUUUUACUCACUAUUGCAUCCCCAGAAUCUAGUAUUGUCCAGGGCAUUUUGUAGAUAAUUAUCAAGUAUUUGUUGAACAAAUAAAAGCUUCCCCCAUGUUCAAGCUACUCGACUCCCAUAGAAUAAGAUCAAGCAAUGAGCUCACAGGCAAAAAUCAUUAAACAUACAGGAAGGCAAAGCUAUUACAAGUAAGAGGCAGUAAAAACUGGAAGCAACGGAUUUAGACAUUGCCACCAUCACCAAGGAUAGCAGAUAAUGGAAUUUUCAGGAACAGAAUCCAGGUUAGUGGGUAUGGGGGGCACAGAAAUUAACAACAAAAGAAACAUCUCCCCUGCCCCCCAGCCAAGAACACUUACCCACCUCCGUCACAUGUUCAUAGAGAAGCUUUUCUAAAAGGGAGAGAGAAAUGCCAGCUCAGCUUAGGAAGGGCUUUUUCUAACAGGCACAAGUGUCCCAAGAUGCCCCCAGCUGCCUGAGUAGGACUGACUCCUUGUCACUACAGAUAAGGCAAAGGCACACCAUGAUGAGAAGUACCAGGACAGGCAGGAUCACAGCCAGAGCCACUGCUGAGGGGGAGAGACUCCCCACAGAUGGGGCUGAAACAGAAACCACCAACGACUGACCUCAGGGAGAUGUCUAAGAGCUUCUGGCAUGCCUCAGAUGGCAGGCGGCUCCAGCACAUCCCAACACUCUCCAUCACCUCUAGGGAGAGAGCUCCGGCCAAGAGGCUCUUUGCUUCUCUGAUAACUCAAGCCCUGGAUAGCAUUAAAGAUAACUGAGGCUGGGAACGGUGGCUCACGCCUGUAAUACCAGCACUUUGGGAGGCAGAGGCAGGAGGAUCAUCUGAGAUCAGGAGUUCAAGACCAGCUGGCCAAUGUGGGGAAACUCCGUGUCUACUAAAAAUACAAAAAUUAGCCAGGUGUGGUGGCGGGCACCUGUAAUCCCAGCUCUUCAGGAGGCUGAGGCAGGAGAAUCCCUUGAACCCGGGAGGCAGAGGUUGCAGUGAGCCAAGGUCACACCAUUGUACUCCAGCCUGGGUGACAAGAGUGAAACUCCAUCUCAAAAACAAACAAACAAACAAACAAACAAAAACUGAGAUGUUCCUCUCUCGGGAAUGGUUUGGAUGGUCCUGCCUCAAGAUGAUGACUUAAACAAACUUCUUGACCACAAUCUCAUCCUGCCCUAUAAUUCAAUGGAAAAAUAAGCCCGGGACUUCAGAGGACUGAAGGCACUCUCCUCACUACACACCUCCAGUCUUCCCAGGAGCACCUGCCUGUUUACCCCUGUCAAUCCUCACUCUGCUCUAGAAGAGCAGGCAGCAACCUCUUUGCCCUGAGCACUGUCCACGGGGGCAAAGCAAUUUCUAUGAUGCCGCAGCAGUAGGCCUGAAGCCUAGGCAGGAGAGAAAGGGGAAAAGAAAGAGGAAAUAGAGGAGAGGAAACGAGCAGAAGCGGGCUAUGGGUAGAAGUAGUUAAGAGCCUAAGCUGGGAGUAUGUCCUUGCUCAAUGCUGUGUGACCCAAAGCAGGAGACUGAGCACCUCCCAGCCCAUUGUCCCUCAUCUGUAAAAUGUGUGCAUGACAGGACUCCUUAUCUCUUUGAGGUUUGGAGAGAUUUAAAGAGGUCAGUCAUAUAAAGCAUUCAGUCUCCUAAGUAGCCGGGAUUACAGGCACAUGCCACCAUGCCUGGCUAGUUUUUGUAUUUUUUUGGUAGAGACAAGGUUUUGCCAUGUUGGCCAGGCUGGUCUCCAGUUCGUUUCAAGGAUCAUUAAAAGGUUCAGGCCAGGUGUGGUGACUCACACCUGUAAUCCUAGCACUUUGGGAGGCUGAAGCAGGAGUAUCACUACAGCUCAGGAGUUUCAGACCAGCCUGGGCAGCAUGGUGAGAGCUCAUCUUUAUUAUAAAUAAAAAAGAAAAAAUAAGUAAAAGGUUUGAACCCUUGGACCCAUUAAUUCUACUGCCAGAAGUACAUUAUUAAAAAAAAAAUCAAAAUCACUUUCCAAAAUACGUUCAAAGAUGUUCAUUGCACCCUUCAUUAUAAUAUGAGGAAAAUUUGGAAAGCAUCCAGAUGCCCAGAAACAGGGCUUUGAUUAAUUUUAUUAUUCUAUAGCCACAUGGCAAAAUACUAUGCAGCCCUUAAAAUCAUAUUACUUAGGGACAUGGGCAAAGAAAACAAAUGCUCAUGAUAUCAUAAGUGGAAAAAUAUCCUGGGCACAAGAAUACACAUGUGUAAACAUACAUGCUCAGAGAUACAUAUAUACAAAAAAGUCUUGCAAGAAAGAUACAAAAAUGUUAGCAGCAGUUCUCUCUAAUUUAAGCUAUUAUAGGCCAUUUUUCAGUUUCCUUUAAAUAUUUUGGAUUUUUUUCAAAUUUUCUACAAUAUAUAUGCUUUAUUCUUAGAAUUUAAAAAAAUUGAAAAUUCCUCAAAAAGUUCCUGCUAGGGUAGGAAUUUCCUCAGGAACCACCAGCGCCUUCAAACCUGUUUCCACCCCAGCUUUUACUUGUUAUGACCACAGCUGUGGUCUUCUCUUGGCCAAGGGCCAUGUUGUGGAUGGUUCAGGACACAUUCCCCAGUGUGCUGUCCCUGACUCUGCUAGACACUGCUAUUUGGAAGAGCCCAGCUUUUUCCAGAGAGUGGGCCUCUGACAGGGAUGGAAGUACCCUGCCUUGAGGUUCUCUCCACUUGGCCCAGGGCUCUGGGAACCAUCCCACCUAUCUGCACACCAGCAGGGCCUCUGCCAGGGUAUGGUCCUGGCCAUGGCCCUCUUCCCCCAUAGCCUCCUGUGAUGAACAGGGGCAGCUGUUAAUGGAACUUGUCCUCUCUCCACUCUCUCCCCACGCUCCUCCUAAUGGGAUAAGCCAGUCUCUAGCUUUAUUCUCAGACAUUUAAAAAUUCACCCAUAGCAAUAACUGUAUCACAUGAUUCAGAUUCCUGUGGGCACCUCGGUCCCCUUUUAAAAAUUACUUUUCAGCUGGGCAUGGUGGCUCAUGCCUGUAAUUCCAGCACUUUGGGAGGCUGAGGUGGGAGGAUCACCUGAGGUCGGGAGAUUGAGAUCAGCCUGACCAACAUGAAGAAACCCCGUCUCUACUAAAAAUACAAAAAUUAGCCGGGCGUGGUGGCACAUGCCUGUAAUCCAGCUACUCGGGAGGCUGAGGCAGGAGAAUCACUUGAACCUGGGAGGCGGAGGUUGUGGUGAGCCCAGAUAGCAUCAUUGCACUCCAGCCUGGGCAACAAGAGUGAAACUCCAUCUCCAAAAAAAAGAAAAAAGAAAAAAAAAUUAGUUGGCCAUGGUGGCGGGCACCAGUAAUCCCAGCUAACUCAGGAGGCUGAGGCAGGAGAAUCACCUGAACCCAGGAGGCGAAGUUGCAGUGAGCCAAGAUUGCACCAAUGCACUCCAGCCUGGGCAACAAGAGCAACACUCCAUCUCAAAAAAAAAAAAAAAAAAAAAAAAAAAAAUUAAUUUUCACCCCAAAGGACUCCAAUUUGGAAAGUCUGUCUACCAACUACUGAGUGUUUUAAAGUAAUUGAUUCAUCCCCACUUCAUGGUGUGUGACUUCAAAUUAUGACCAAAAGAUAAUCAGCAUGUGACCAUGUGAAGCCAGUGUCAUUCAAGCAAAUGCAAAGACAUGGUUUGGGUUGGGUUGAGUUGGGUUUGGUUUGGUAGACUGAUUUUUUAAAAUAUUAGUAGACUGAUUUUUGUGGACUGAUUUUCAGUAAACUGUUUUUUUUAAAUAUUGAAGCUAGUUUGAGAACACUCUCAACUGGGUGCAGUGGCUCACACCUGUAAUGCCAAUACUUUGGGAGGCCAAGCGGGGAGGAUUGCUGGAUUGGAAACCAGUCUAGGAAACAUAGGGAGACCCUGUCUCUACUAAAAGUAAAAAAAAAAAUUAACCAGACAUGGUAGUGUAUGUGUAGUCCCAGCUACUUGGGAGGCUGAGGUGGCAGGAUUACUUGAGCCCAGGUGGUCAAGGCUACAGUGAGCUAUGAUUGCACUACUGCACUCCAGCCUGGGCAACAGAGCAAGGCCCUAUCUCAAAACAAAAAAAAAAAAAAAAAAAAAGAGAAAAAAAAAAAAAAAAACACUAUCUCUCCCUUCCUAACCCUUUACUUUCUCAGGAACCCCAGGAGAGGACCCAUUAAGUAAAUCCUGUCACAGCAGGGGAUCUGUCCCUUGAAGACAUUUCUUUACAGCCAUGUAAUGAGUUCCUUGAUAAUGGAGCAUAGAAAGAUGACCCAGGGAGGAAAAGCUAUUAUCUGAGCCUCCAAGCCCUAUUUAACCAGGACCUGCAUUGUACAGUGUUUUCCAAAGUCUGAGUUCCUUCCUUAUCAGAAAUGCCUAGGCCAGCUUCACAGCCUCAGCUGAGAUCAAUGGACAUGGCUGGGUAAGGCUGAGCCAUCCUGGCAAGUAAAAACUACACUGCAGAUGAAAGAAAAGUCUAGACAUGGAGAGACAAAGUAGGUCCUGAUUAAGCUUGUCCAAUUGCCACAAAUGACCCUGGGCACCUCAAACCCAUUCUAACCUGCAACCUGCAGGAUCACGGUGUCCUCUUUACUCAGAUUUCCAACUUGGAUCAGACAUCGGUAAGACCCUUGGUCCUCAAGGCGCACGUCA
rnacentral:lncRNA from 10 species